UUACUCCCAGACCUGGGCUUAACCGCAUGCAGCAAUAGCACUGACAGGGCUCCAGCCACUUUGGUCCUGCAGCCCGCACCCCUCCUCGUGCAGAGUGCCACUUUGCUCCUCAGGCAUGGGUGUGAUAUGAGCAAAAGCCGUGGCGGAGGAAGAUGUUUGCUGAGCAGGGCUACACACAAACACUCGUCGAGCCUGCCCUCCCUCCAUCAAACUGCCCUUACUCACACCAGUGGCCUGGCGGGGCUUGACGGGGGCGUGCUAAAAGGAAAGAAAUGGAGCUCUGUAUUUGGCCAGCUGGCCGUGCUUGCCUUUCCUGCCUGUCGUCUCAGUCCCCAACACCUCGGCUGCCAUGGCCCUGGGCUCCGGGGCUGCUGCUCUGCUUCUGGACUCAAUCCUUCUUUCAGCAACAAAAGGAUACACUACUGGAUAUCUGUUAUUGAGUCACUGCAGGAAUUCCGCAGAAAAACCUGGAUCCAGCUUCGGCCCCCGGAUCGAAGGAGUUUCUGAUUGGUCCCGUUUUGUCACUUCCAUAGCAACCAGUUGUGAUGGCUCCGAGGAUUAUCACUUCAGGAAGGAAAUAAGCACUGAUGGAAGAAAAAAAGGACCUGUUUUUUUGCUCUGAUCCUGCUUUUAUGAUGAUGGAGAGGACGAAUUCAGAUAAAAUAAAGAGCG